UACGUAGGGUGCAAGCGUUAAUCGGAAUUACUGGGCGUAAAGCGUGCGCAGGCGGUUUUGUAAGUUUGUCGUGAAAGCCCCGGGCUCAACCUGGGAAUUGCGAUGAAGACUGCAAGGCUUGAAUCUGGCAGAGGGGGGUAGAACUCCACGUGUAGCAGUGAAAUGCGUAGAGAUGUGGAGGAACACCGAUGGCGAAGGCAGCCCCCUGGGUCAAGAUUGACGCUCAUGCACGAAAGCGUGGGGAGCAAACAGG
rnacentral:rRNA from 1 species